rnacentral:rRNA from 1 species
UACGUAGGGGGCAAGCGUUGUCCGGAUUUACUGGGCGUAAAGAGCGUGUAGGCGGCCACGCAGGUCCGUUGUGAAAACUGGAGGCUCAACCUCCAGCUGUCGACGGAAACCGUGUGGCUAGAGUCCGGAAGAGGAGAGUGGAAUUCCUGGUGUAGCGGUGAAAUGCGCAGAUAUCAGGAAGAACACCAAUGGCGAAGGCAGCUCUCUGGGACGGUACUGACGCUGAGACGCGGAAGCGUGGGGAGCGAACAGG